GGGCGUUAAGUUGCAGGGUAUAGACCCGAAACCCGGUGAUCUAGCCAUGGGCAGGUUGAAGGUUGGGUAACACUAACUGGAGGACCGAACCGACUAAUGUUGAAAAAUUAGCGGAUGACCUGUGGCUGGGGGUGAAAGGCCAAUCAAACCGGGAGAUAGCUGGUUCUCCCCGAAAGCUAUUUAGGUAGCGCCUCGUGAAUUCAUCUCCGGGGGUAGAGCACUGUUUCGGCUAGGGGGCCAUCCCGGCUUACCAACCCGAUGCAAACUGCGAAUACCGGAGAAUGUUAUCACGGGAGACACACGGCGGGUGCUAACGUCCGUCGUGAAGAGGGAAACAACCCAGACCGCCAGCUAAGGUCCCAAAGUCAUAGUUAAGUGGGAAACGAUGUGGGAAGGCCCAGACAGCCAGGAUGUUGGCUUAGAAGCAGCCAUCAUUUAAAGAAAGCGUAAUAGCUCACUGGUCGAGUCGGCCUGCGCGGAAGAUGUAACGGGGCUAAACUAUGCACCGAAGCUGCGGCAGCGA
rnacentral:rRNA from 1 species